rnacentral:lncRNA from 1 species
GCAUCCUUCCAGUUACAGCGUGUCUCGUGUCGUUGGAGUCCGGCGAGACUUUGGUGAGAGUUUUGGUAAAACCACAAUAAGGAGCGGAACAAGUCGUCAAGAUUCGGGUUUCACCCCUAACUUAACGACUUUAUUCUUGUUUGUGUGAUAGAAUCACGAGAUAGAGAGGAAAAUUUGCAUCGAAGUAUGGAUUUCACUCGUGGUUCAACGCAAACUCUCGUGUUUGUAUAAAAAUGCGCGUUGAACAAGCAACCCAAUCGAGAGUUUGCGGUUUUCAUACCUAGUCUUAAUUUAAUCACUUGUUCAUUUUCGAAAUAGUGUGCAAUGUGCUAGCAUGGCAUGCGUUGUUCGUGCGAGAAUAAGUUCGAGAAAGCGUAACAUAAAUAGGCUCGUGUAGAACCCCUACCGGGUUCGCAGAAGGCGGUCUAUUGGUACUUAGACUAUAGACUAGGUCGUUUCUAAGACAUCGACCCGGACUAGGUCGAG